UUUCUGGGCACCAUGGGAGUUUAAAAAAAUUUUUUUUUUUUUUGGUACCGGAGAUCGAACUCGGGUCCUUGCGCUUUCGAGGCAGGUGGCAGAACCACUGAGCUAAAUCCCCAGCCCCCCAAAAUUUUUUAUUAAAAUGUUUGCAGUACAUAAUGAUGACAUUCAUCUUUUUUGGGGGGGGAUGGGUUGGUACAUAUAAAUAGCACCUUAAUUCUUUUUCCAUGACAUGUUUUGGUACAUGUGUACAUUGUAUAAUGUUUGAAUCAGGGUGGCAGCCACUUCUUCCAGAAGCCCUGACAGUCAGCGAGAUACUUCACUGGGCUGAGAGGCAUGACUCAGCGUCUGGCUCCAUGGCAUUCUCCAUCUCCCAGAAUCGCAGUUUCAGUGCUCACCUCUGUGACUCAGCUGUCACGACCUCUCUGGGAACAAGCCCUGCCCUUGGAUACCACCCUGUUUUCGUGUUGUCUGUUGCCUCGGCCAAUGCUUAGCACCAUUCCUGUAUGAAGCUGCACAUUGGGGUACCAGCCCCUGCCAGCUGGGAAGCACAAGAAUACCAGGAGGUUGUUCUUUGUAGAAUCUACCAGUCAACUGAAAACGCCUUCUCUUCUGGCCACCAAAAGGGAAUAAAGAAUGCCAUGAAGAUUUAACUCAUCAUAAAUGAAUACACUUCUUUAUUUAAAAAGGCAUUUUUCUUUUUCAAAGGGAACAAAGGCGUAUUGACCAGCUGGUUAUUUAAGUUUAUGAAAACACAUAGCAUGGGCUGCUGAUGGUUUUCUGUAAUUUUUCAGUAAUAAUCGUAAGUGAAGAAAAAGACAAGAAAAUUUGAG
rnacentral:lncRNA from 1 species